rnacentral:sRNA from 1 species
CUGUGUGUGUGUCUGUGUCUCUGUGUGUGUGUCUCUGUGGGGGGGAGUGUCUGUGUCUGUGUGUGUGUUCUUGCUUUCCCUUUCUCAUCAGCCCCAGGGAGUUAAGAGUUCGUAGUUUUUCCUCUGGCCACAGGGAGUGCCAGCCCCAGUAAAUUGAGAGGAAACUUCUCUCUUCAAUGGCUGCCAUUGGCAGCAGCCCCUGUAGGUAUCUGGACUCACCCCACCCCAUCAACAGGUUUAAACACUGACCCCCUCCCCAAUCAGCUACCUGCCUUGGAUCACCCACCACGUGGAUGCUAAAACUGGUUACUGGCAUUCUGGCUCCCAGACAGAUACCUGGAAGAGCAGGUACAGUAAGCCAGCCCUUGGUUUUCUAGACCAAGGAACUGUAGACAUGAAACACAGGCGACAGAAGAAGUGGAGGGAAGGACACGCCUCUCUCUACACUCGUCUUUUGGCGUAUGCAUAAGCAGACAUCGGCAGGUGAUACAGCGUGCUUGCUGCUGGUCCACUCAGGAGCCCUCUGCUCCCCUCAUGAACGGACUCCUUUAUUGACACCUCGUUCGGGAUCUAAGAACAAUGUUUAUUUCUGGACAGAGUAAAAAAGACAGUUCAGGAAAAGAUAGUAAUGAGUCAGAGGAGGAGAUCUUGACCUUGGAGAAGGAAUCCGACUUGAAGAUGGAGGCAACAAGAUACUGUAAACCUGAAUGUCCUCAACUGCAAUACCUGCCAUUAAUCCUCCUCCCAAGGCUCCUGAAAAACAAGGAAAGCCAUCUGGAUUCCCCGCUGCUGUGCUGUCAGGCUUGACAAAAGUGUGAUUCAUCAUGGGGUUUUAUUACUUAAAAAAAUCUAAAUUUCAAUUUUUUCUUUAAAAUAUUAAUUGGAUUUGUCCUUUCUUAAAAUAAUUACAGCUAAAUUGAAGCCA